rnacentral:rRNA from 1 species
UACGUAGGGGGGCAAGCGUUGUCCGGAAUCAUUGGGCGUAAAGCGCGUGUAGGCGGCCCGGUAAGUCCGCUGUGAAAGUCGGGGGGCUCAACCCUCGAAUGCCGGUGGAUACUGUCGGGCUAGAGUGCGGAAGAGGCGAGUGGAAUUCCUGGUGUAGCGGUGAAAUGCGCAGAUAUCAGGAGGAACACCAAUUGCGAAGGCAGCUCGCUGGGGACGUGACUGACGCUGAGACGCGAAAGCGUGGGGGAGCAAACAGG